CUACGUGCCAGCAGCCGCGGUAAUACGGAGGGUGCGAGCGUUAAUCGGAAUAACUGGGCGUAAAGGGCACGCAGGCGGUGACUUAAGUGAGAUGUGAAAGCCCCGGGCUUAACCUGGGAAUUGCAUUUCAUACUGGGUCGCUAGAGUACUUUAGGGAGGGGUAGAAUUCCACGUGUAGCGGUGAAAUGCGUAGAGAUGUGGAGGAAUACCGAAGGCGAAGGCAGCCCCUUGGGAAUGUACUGACGCUCAUGUGCGAAAGCGUGGGGAGCAAACAGGAUUAGAUACCCUGGUAGUCCACGCUGUAAACGAUGUCGAUUUGGGGGUUGAGCUUUGAGCUUGGCGCCCGUAGCUAACGUGAUAAAUCGACCGCCUGGGGAGUACGGCCGCAAGGUUAAAACUCAAAUGAAUUGACGGGGGCCCGCACAAGCGGUGGAGCAUGUGGUUUAAUUCGAUGCAACGCGAAGAACCUUACCUACUCUUGACAUCCAGAGAACAUUC
rnacentral:rRNA from 1 species